rnacentral:rRNA from 1 species
GGGCCCGCACAAGCGGCGGAGCAUGCGGAUUAAUUCGAUGCAACGCGAAGAACCUUACCUGGGUUUGACAUAUGCCGGUAGCAGCCAGAGAUGGUUGUGCCUUUUGGGCCGGUUUACAGGUGGUGCAUGGCUGUCGUCAGCUCGUGUCGUGAGAUGUUGGGUUAAGUCCCGCAACGAGCGCAACCCUUGUCCUAUGUUGCCAGCGGUUCGGCCGGGAACUCAUAGGAGACUGCCGGGGUCAACUCGGAGGAAGGUGGGGAUGACGUCAAGUCAUCAUGCCCCUUAUGUCCAGGGCUUCACGCAUGCUACAAUGGCUGGUACAGAGGGUUGCGAUGCCGUGAGGUGGAGCGAAUCCCUUAAAGCCAGUCUCAGUUCGGAUUGGGGUCUGCAACUCGACCCCAUGAAGUCGGAGUCGCUAGUAAUCGCAGAUCAGCAUUGCUGCGGUGAAUACGUUCCCGGGCCUU